UACGGGGGGGGCAAGCGUUGUUCGGAAUUACUGGGCGUAAAGGGCUCGUAGGCGGCCAACUAAGUCAGACGUGAAAUCCCUCGGCUUAACCGGGGAACUGCGUCUGAUACUGGAUGGCUUGAGAUUGGGAGAGGGAUGCGGAAUUCCAGGUGUAGCGGUGAAAUGCGUAGAUAUCUGGAGGAACACCGGUGGCGAAGGCGGCUUCCUGGACCGAUACUGACGCUGAGGCGCGAAAGCUAGGGGAGCAAACGGG
rnacentral:rRNA from 1 species